rnacentral:rRNA from 1 species
UUAAGUAAGGAAGGGCGUACGGCGAAUGCCUUGCCACUCGAAACUGAAGAAGGACGCGCCAAACUGCGAAAAGCUCCGUGAAGCUGUAAGGAAGCGAAGAAGCGGAGGUGUCCGAAUGGGGGAACCCGGCAGCAGACAUGAGCUGUCAUCUGCAGGUGAAUACAUGGCCUGCAAGAGAGGUACCCGGCGAACUGAAACAUCUAAGUAGCCGGAGGAAAAGAAAACAACAGUGAUUCCCUGAGUAGCGGCGAGCGAAAGGGGAGAAGCCCAAACCGGUUGAAGGACCGGGGUUGAAGGACCAUGACAUGGCAAGAACGAGGAUAGGAGAACGGGAUCGAAAGCCCGGCCGAAGAAGGUGAAAGCCCUGUAACCGAAAUCCGAGUAAAGCCUAAUGGGAUCCUGAGUACGGCGAGACACGAGAAAUCUUGUCGGAAGCAGGCGGGACCAUCCGCCAAGGCUAAAUAUAAACGAGUGAGCGAUAGUGAACCAGUACCGUGAGGGAAAGGUGAAAAGAACCGCGGGAGCGGAGUGAAAGAGAACCUGAAACCGUAUGCCUACAAGAAGUCAGAGCCCGUUAAGGGGUGAUGGCGUGCCUUUUGUAGAAUGAACCGGCGAGUUGCGACAGACUGCGAGGUUAAGGAGGAAAGACCGGAGCCGAAGCGAAAGCGAGUCUUAAGAGGGCGAAAGUAGGAUGUUGCAGACCCGAAACCGGGUGAUCUAGCCAUGAGCAGGUUGAAGUUGAGGUGAAACUCAAUGGAGGACCGAACCGACUACCGUUGAAAAGUUAGCGGAUGACUUGUGGCUAGGGGAGAAAUUCCAAUCGAACCCGGAGAUAGCUGGUUCUCCCCGAAAUAGCUUUAGGGCUAGCGUCGGAAAGAACCUUAGUGAAGGUAGAGCACUGAAUGUGUGAUGGCCCCAUCCCGGGGUACUGAAUACAAUCAAACUGCGAAUGUCAUUAAGGAUGUCCGGCAGUCAGACUGUGAGUGAUAAGGUCCAUGGUCAAGAGGGAAACAGCCCAGACCGCCAGUUAAGGUCCCAAAAUACAGGCUAAGUGGAAAAGGAUGUGGGGAUGCCCAGACAACUAGGAGGUUGGCUCAGAAGCAGCCAUCCUUUAAAGAGUGCGUAACAGCUCACUAGUCGAGUGACCCUGCGCCGAAAAUGUACCGGGGCUAAGCCUGAUACCGAAACUGCGGAUUGUAGGAAACUAUAGUGGUAGGGGAGCGUUGUAUACGAGCAGAAGCCGUACCGUGAGGAGCGGUGGAUUGUAUAGAAGUGAGAAUGCCGGUGUGAGUAGCGAGAUGUAGGUGAGAAUCCUACACACCGAAAGCCCAAGGAUUCCAGGGGAAGGUUCGUCCGCCCUGGGUAAGUCGGGACCUAACGCGAGGCCGAAAGGCGUAGUGGAUGGAAAGCAGGCGAAAGAUUCCUGCACCCGUAUAUGGAGCGAAGGAGUGACGGAGACGGAUAGUGUGACCCUCUUAAUGGAUUGAGGGCGAAGCGAAGCGGCUGGUUACCAGGCAAAUCCGGUAACCAUAAGGCUAGAGCGUGACAGGUAAGCGAAAUCUUAGGAAAGUAGCGAAGCACAUGAUGACGGCUUCCAGGAAAAGCUUCUGGCAAUGCAUAUGCGGCCCGUACCAAAACCGACACAGGUGGGCAGGGAGAGAAUCCCGAGGUGAGCGAGAGAACUGUUGCCAAGGAACUCGGCAAAAUGACUCCGUAAGUUAGCGAGAAGGAGUGCUUAAGCAAUUAAGCCGCAGUGAAGAGGCCCAAGCGACUGUUUAACUAAAACACAGCUCUCUGCGAAGUCGCAAGACGAAGUAUAGGGGGUGACACCUGCCCGGUGCUGGAAGGUUAAGAGGAUCUGUUAAGAGCGAUCUGAAGCAGUGAUCCGAAGCCCCAGUGAACGGCGGCCGUAACUAUAACGGUCCUAAGGUAGCGAAAUUCCUUGUCAGGUAAGUUCUGAC